GUAACGGGGGGCUCCAAGGGAUUCAUUCAGAUGAGUUUUUGAGGACGAGAUAUCUAAAACGGGGAAGAGACUUUCAGCCGAGCUUCUUUCCACUCAGCACACUGUUAAGUGUUUUAAAUGGGCCCAAUCUUAGUUUCAAUAUCCGGUGUUUGGUCAAUAUACAACAUAGUUUGCUGGACCAUAGCAGUUACAACCUGUUUAAGCUGGUCACGUCGUUUCCAUAAAAGAGCAAUCUGGUCGUUGAGGGUCUCCCACGCUCUGGCCUCGAAGCAUAGUUGAAGGAUGUCAGUUACGUUAUUUUUUGGUUCCGGAGAUGUCUCCGACGAGUCUAAUCUGCUUCUCUACAUUCAACAGCGCCUCUGUUUCCGCUUUUAAAUUAUGUUGAGCCUCCAUUUUUGAUUCAGAGAUAGGACAUUAGAAGUCGAGUUGAUUUGUUGUUGAAUAAAUGGUAAAGACGAAAUCAUAAGAGAGAGAGUUUAGAGAGUGAAGACCUCCAUCAAGCUCGCCUGGGACUAGAAGUCCAGACUUUUGGCGCUGUGACCCACCCGGCACCGCGCCUGACUCCCCGCGUGCAUGGCGCGCCUACUCCAUCUCCAUCUCCAACGCUCUGCCGCUUCCCAACUCCGACGCCGACAACACUUGCAGCAGCGGCGGCUCCUCAAGCUCCCUCACCACGAGUUACUCCACUCUGAGACCGAGUUUCUCCACUCUGAGACCGAGUUUCUCCACUCUGAGACCGAGUUUCGUCCAGAGAAGUGCGAGCAGUCACUCGCUUCAGCAACCGCCGCCACGGCUUUCCUCUCUCCGUCCCGGCGCCGCCGUCCCUGCCCUUCUCCUCUACGCCGCUGCUGUUGGGGGCCUCGCCUGAAAGUUACCCAGAUGGAAGGAGAGACCUUGGACUGUGAAGAAGCUUGUGUUGGUGACGGGCUUGGUUCUUGCCAAUGAUGGUUUUGGGCUUGGGUUUGAAUUUAGAGCCCAGGCCCAAGUCUAUGCUGAAGUUGGAGUCUCGAGGCUUGCCCACUAAUGUCUUUAGAUUUGGGCUUAAGUUGUGGCAUUAGGCCCAAAUGUAUGAUGGAUGAUUGCUUUGGGCUUGCCCAUGAAAACAUUAGACUCACACUUGGGUUAGAGCCCAGGUCCAGUUCGUGUGGAUGCAGGGCUCUACGCCAAUCCUUAAAAAAAAAAAUAUAAGUUUUAAUUUAAUUCUUGUUUAAA